ensembl:lncRNA
UCUUUUGCUACCAUGAGGACUGCCCCACGCAGAAGUGCUUCUGAGAUAACAGCCUCAAGAGCAGCAGGUUUUGGACAAGGGUCAUGAUUAUCUUUUAUCUGACAGCACCAAGCAGAGUACAGAACACACAGUAGGCUCCCUUCAUUGAAAUAAAGAAGACAGGGACCAUUUUUGAGAAAAAGGAGAAGAUGGCAAGGAAAAACUCUCUCUUUCCCCUAGGAGCUCUGAAGAAGAAAGGGCUUGGAGAGAGGAAGGUAGGUAGUCCUACGUGCAUGUGUCAGACUCUGAAUAGAGAGCCACAGAGCCUCGCGGGAGGCUCGGGUAGCCCACAGGCUGUGUGGUAGAUGGCCUGGCACAGGAGCCCUUUGGAGGACUUAAGAGGGACUCAGAGUGAUCUGCAGAAGCAGGGAGAGUCGAGAGGAGGCCAGUCAACAGGGAGAGGCCCCUGGACAGGAUCAAGCUAUGAAACAUACCACAAAUUCAUCAGCUGCAGAACGCCCCAAGGAAGCAGCCAGCUAAACUAGAUCUUAAUGGACACCAGUCAGCAUUCACUCAAGGAGAAUCAUGGGGAGACGCCUUCUUCUAGAAGCUAUGAAGACCUUUCUCCUUUUCUCUGACACCAUCUUCAGAGAAGACAGAGGUGUAGGGAGGAAUCUGAAUAAUAACUAAAAGAGAUAAUUUACCCCGCAGGACUAAGUUUUGAACCAGCCUACAAAUACAACACCUGUACUUUUUCGGCACAGCUCAGUGUAGUAUGAGUAGUCCUGUGACUCUGAUAUAUAUGAAGUCAUUCAAUAGCUAAAGCUAAGAAGACAAGAAAGUAUGGGGUGUAUAUGAUGUGGUUGUAGGAAGUGAAUGACUUUCAGACAAUGUUCAAAUUCUCUGAAGAAUUUGUAGUCACAAAAUUCACUUUAAUGCAACAGCAUUGACCUUGAGCAAAAUUCUUCCUAAACAUCUAGCUCAAAACAGCAUUCACUGAGCACUUGUGCUAGCUACUGCAGACACUCUAUUAAAUAAAACUCGCUUGCAAGGCACUUACACAUCAGCACCAUCUUCCCUUCCAAUGCCAGAGUCUACCUAUGGAAAUCUGCUUUCAAGAAGCUUCCAGUGUUUGUCAUGUAUACCUUAGUGUAAAUUAAGUGAAUGUGUUAUCUCACCAUAAUUUGUGAUUUGUUUGUUUGUUGUAGUGGUUGUUGUUUACUGUCAUUUCCGACUAUAAAAGUAAAGCUUUGAUCUCUGCUGGAGUGACUUUCAGGCAUUAGUAAACACCUAGGGAGCUUUAUACGUUUUCAUAUGAAGAGGUCUUCCUCCUUGAAAUCCAUUCAACAAAUAUUGAGUAAGUACUGGCUCUGUUCCAGACCCAGAAUUAAAUGCUGGAAAGACACAGUUUCUUUUCUAACAUCUCCACUUAUAAGUCCCAUAAGCAUCUCAAAUUGAAUAUAUCUUAAGAAGAGUAUGUGAUUCCCACCCACCCGAACCUGAUCGUCCACAGUUUUUUCUGUCACAGUAAAUAGUAGAACCAUGUACGCAAUGUGCUCAAAUUAGAAACCCUGGCAUAAUCCAAUUGCUCCUGUUUCCUGACGCUGUCCCUGAGAAACACACUCUAACGCAUGGACACGGACACACAUCCACACAUGUGCCGUAAAAUUAACUUAACAGGAGGCCAUUAGAUGAGGUGGUUCUAACGCUGUGGCAGCCAACAUAAGCAACCCAAAGCCUAAGCCUAUAGAUGCCCCAAGGUUAUGAAAUGGAAACCUAAGGACAACCAGUCACAAACAGCCGACCGGGCUUUAAGCUAUAGCGAAUCAAUGAUCUCCUUGCUUUGCUUCCACCUUCCAUAAAAAGCCUCUCCAAGAAAUCCUGUCAGUGGAGCGCUCCUAAACACUUCCAGUUUGGCGCUGCCUGAUUGAAAUCGAUUUUGGCUCAGACUCUUAAAACUUGUAAUAUGCCUCAGUUUACCUUUUAACUGUACACACACAUACGUGUCCAUGGAAUCAUUCUCUUGGUCCUGCCUCCAAAUCAGAUCUUGAAUCUGCAGGGGAAGAAAAAUAAUUUUACCUCUACCCUUAUGACUUCUUGCUGAAAUGCCCUGUAAAGAAAGAUUAACAACAGGGGACCAGCCACGUGGCCCAGUGAUUAAAAUUCAAUGCACUUCCACCAAACUCAUAUCAUUUAGAUGGCCUGAGUUCACUGGUUCAGAUCCUAGGUGUGGACCUACCCCACUUGUCAGCGAUGCUGUGGAAGAGUCCCACAUAUAAAGAAGAGGAAGAUUGGCACAGAGGUUAGCUCAGGGCUAAUCUUCUUCAAGUAAAAAAAGAGGCAGAUUAGCAAUGGAUGUUAGCUCAGGGUGAAUCUUCCUCACCAAAAAAAAAUUACCAACAGACAAAGUUUAUUAUAAUAUUAUAUAUGAUAUAUAUUAUAGUAUAUAUAAUAAAUAUUAUAAUAAACAAGUUUAACAUGUAUAGAAGGGAGAUAUCAAGGAAAAAUGAGUAAACUCCCCAAGAUGACCCAAGCCACCACCUUAAAUACCAUCUUCAGCUAAAGACAAAAGAAAGAAAGAUGUUGAGGUUGGGGGGGUGGUGGCAAAGACACGGGAGGUUACCAGGAAAAGCACAGUAAACAAGGGUAUGGUUGUCAUGCAAGUUUAAGCAGUCACCUUCUCCAUUCAUAAGAGUUUCUUGUGAUUGAGAGUCAUCCUUCUCUUCCUGGUACAGAGAGGGAGACAGCCUUGUGAAUGGAGAUUUCCUGUGUUGACGUAAAUUGCCCUUAGAGAAGGAUAACUUCUACUUGGUUUUCAGAACUUCUCCUGUGUCUGCUGUUUCUCAAAAAUAAUCAGCUCAAGAUAAUCUUUAUGCCAAAGAGGUGUAUUUGGGGUGGCAUAUUCUAUUAGCCUUCCCGUCUGCCCUCUUCUCUCCAUGCCCAUUGCCUCUGCCCUCUCUCAAGUGGACACUCAGAUCUGAAGUCUUCUGCUCUCUUGCUCCCCGCUCUCUCUCGCCUCUCAGCUCUCAGAUCUCAGUCAGAUCGCCUCACUCUCCUGCUUCAACUCUUAUUGGCUUCCCAGGAUACCUGGUGUAAUAUCCCAACUCCGUCCCCAUCCUCCAAGGCUCUGUGUCAUCUACUCUGCUUCUCUCCCCGUGGGAUCUACCCUCCCCACCUCCCCAGCCUCACUUCUAAUCUCUUUCCCCACCCAAUACGUGCUCCACUCAUGAGAGUCUCAGGCAGUUCUCAGAAUGGACCACAUUCUUUCUACCUCUGGUCCUUUGCACUUGCUGUUCCUUCUGCUUAGAAUUUGCUCUGCCUAUCCAAUGACUGCUCCUUCCUCUCCUACAGGUCUCAGUUUAAAUAUCAUCUCCUCACAAACACCUUCCCUGAUCAGCCUAGCUGAAGUUACACCUCAAUUUUAACUGUCACAGCAUUCUGUUUAUUUUCUUUAAAGCAAAACCAUGGGUUGUGAAUAGCUGAUUUAUUUAUUGGCAGCAUAACAUAAUAGUUAUGACUCUGAAGGCAGAUUUUCUGGAUUCAGAUUCUGGCUCUGCCACCCUCAAGCUGUGUGGCCUUGGAAAAGUUACUUAACCUCUCUGUGCCUCCAUUCCCUUAUCUCUAAAAUGUAAAAAAUGAUACUACCUGCUUCACAGAGUUGUUAGAGAAUUAAAAGACUCAAUAAACAUGAAGCACUUCAAAUAGUGAUUGUCUGCAAGAAGCAUAAAUAUGUCUAUUUGUUAAAUAACUAUAAAAAUAAAAUAUGAUGAUGUCAAGAAUCCUGUCUUUCUCUAUUUAGCACUAUCUCGCCAGAGCUUAGCCUCAUGCCUAGCACAAAGAAGAUAGUCCAUAAAUAGUCAUUAAAUACAUAAACGAAUAAAAGAAUGACCAAAUGACAUGACUGUCCUCCAAGUAUUUGUCGUAAAGCCCAACAGGUUGAAAACUUUAAUGUCCAAAGUAAUCACCUGGGGAUCUUGUUAAACUGUAGACUCUCACUCAGCUGGUCCGGGGAGAAGCUGGAGAGUCUGCAUUUCCAACAAGCGCCAGGUGUUGCUGAUGCUGCUGGUCCAUAGUCCACACUUUGACUAUCUAGCUGAUUGCCGACUGACCUAGAUCUAGAAAUCAGCUCCUGGAAAGUGUCUGCUGGAAACAGCCUUCCCAUUGCAACACAUUUAUCUCUUAUAGAUAGUCACUUCCUCAUAAGGCCAUCCCAGAGUUAGAACCUUUUGGAAGUAUUGAUGGGGUCUCAGUGGACACUGCCCAUGAUCUCACUCAGGUGGUGUCACCUGAGUCAAUAAUCAACCUACCGUUACUUCUGACCACCUGGGAAGUUCUGGAAAAGGCCUCCUUAUGUAUUUCCCCUUUAUCAUCAAUGGGCCAUCUAUAUAUUUCAUCUGAAAAGAAUCUGUUCUUUUUAGGGCUCUCUUUGGGGCCUUAAAAGGUGUAGUAAAUGUGUUUCCUUUACACCAGCAUUUUCAGUAAUUUAUUCCAGAUACUCGUCUUGUAUCAUUUAACUCUUAAAUGCUUUCAGAUUUCAAAUAUGCUUUGUAUCAGCGCAUACAAACUAUGCAUGUUGGCACUGGUAUUUUAAGAACAAGAAGGUUAAGGUUUCAAAAGCAACACCCUGAUUUCUUGGACAUGAUGAAAGUGUGAUUUUUUUUUUCCCAGGGCAGAGGGUGUGUGUGGCUGGAAUUACUCAGAACUGCUCACUGGUUGCCUCUCAAGGAUUGCUUAAAUUUAAAAUACUGCCG